rnacentral:rRNA from 1 species
UACGUAGGGUGCAAGCGUUAAUCGGAAUUACUGGGCGUAAAGCGUGCGCAGGCGGCUUUGCAAGACAGAUGUGAAAUCCCCGGGCUCAACCCUGGGAACUGCGUCGGAUACUGGUUGGCUUGAAUCCGGGAGAGGGAUGCGGAAUUCCAGGUGUAGCGGUGAAAUGCGCAGAUAUCUGGAGGAACACCGGUGGCGAAGGCGGCAUCCUGGGACCGAUACUGACGCUGAGGAGCGAAAGCCAGGGGAGCAAACGGG